GUUCGCCGUCCUGUCUCACCGUCGCGCCUUGCCCCGCCAACUUCUUCUCCCUUUCUUCUUUCGCGGGUUACCACCGUAGGCGCACGCAACCACCACCCAGCAAGCCACCUGCGCCGCCAGCCUUGUCGACCGAUCGUCGACCACCCACACCUGCUGCCGCACCGCCAUUGCCGCCGGCCAGCAGCCUUUCUCUCCUCCUUAAUUUUGGUGGAGAAUUCUCGUUAGGCGACUUUUGAAAGUGUUAAAGUGGCCUAUUAGUUUGUUUACACAAGUCUCUAAGGAUCAAUAAGCGUUGCCCAUCUACAGGUUUGAAGAUGAUGCAUCAUUGGGAUCGGGAUUAGAGAGCUUGUAGUUCUAUUUGUUUAAUUAAGUGAUUUAAUUUGUUAACUUGGAUUUGAAAUUUGUCAUACUAUUCGUAUUUCCUUAAUUCAGUUAAUUGGUUUGGACCUAAUAUGUAAUAGAUUAUUUAUGAACCUAAAAGUUAGUUUUAUGUUU